rnacentral:rRNA from 1 species
AACGAACGCUGGCGGCAUGCCUAACACAUGCAGGUCGAACGGGACCUUCGGGUCUAGUGGCGCACGGGUGCGUAACGCGGGGGAACCUGCCCGUAGGUUCGGAAUCACUCCCCGAAAGGGGUGCUAAUACCGGUUAAUCUCUUCGGGCCAAAGAGUUCUCGCCUUGGGAUGGGGCCGCGUUGGAUUAGCUAGUUGGUAGGGUACAAGCCUACCAAGGCGACGUUCCAUAGCUGGUCUGAGAGGAUGAUCAGCCACAAUGGGACUGAGACACGGACCAGACUCGUACGGGAGGCAGCAGUGGGGAAUAUUAGACGAGGGGCGAUAGUCUAACCAAGCAAUGCCGCGUGAGUGAGCAAGGCCUUAGGGUUGUACAUCUCUUUUACCCGGGAUGUGAAUGACAGUACCGGGAGAAUAAGCUCCGGCUAACUCCGUG